UACGGGGGGGGCAAGCGUUGUUCGGAAUUACUGGGCGUAAAGGGCUCGUAGGUGGCCAACUAAGUCAGACGUGAAAUCCCCAGGCUCAACCUGGGAACUGCAUCCGAUACUGGAUGGCUUGAAUUCGGGAGAGGGAUGCAGAAUUCCAGGUGUAGCGGUGAAAUGCGUAGAUAUCUGGAGGAAUACCGGUGGCGAAGGCGGCAUCCUGGACCGACAUUGACGCUGAUGAGCGAAAGCUAGGGGAGCAAACGGG
rnacentral:rRNA from 1 species